AUUGAACGCUGGCGGCAGGCUUAACACAUGCAAGUCGAGCGGAGAGAGGUAGCUUGCUACUGAUCUUAGCGGCGGACGGGUGAGUAAUGCUUAGGAAUCUGCCUAUUAGUGGGGGACAACAUUUCGAAAGGAAUGCUAAUACCGCAUACGUUCUACGGGAGAAAGCAGGGGAUCUUCGGACCUGGCGCUAAUAGAUGAGCCUAAGUCGGAUUAGCUAGUUGGUGGGGUAAAGGCCUACCAAGGCGACGAUCUGUAGCGGGUCUGAGAGGAUGAUCCGCCACACUGGGACUGAGACACGGCCCAGACUCCUACGGGAGGCAGCAGUGGGGAAUAUUGGACAAUGGGCGGAAGCCUGAUCCAGCCAUGCCGCGUGUGUGAAGAAGGCCUUAUGGUUGUAAAGCACUUUAAGCGAGGAGGAGGCUACUUUAGUUAAUACCUAGAGAUAGUGGACGUUACUCGCAGAAUAAGCACCGGCUAACUCUGUGCCAGCAGCCGCCGUAAUAC
rnacentral:rRNA from 1 species